CCCCUUCCCCCCAGGUUUGUUGCUAUCAGUGACCUGUACGAGCCGAUUGAAGAUGGGACGGAGAGUCAGGUCUUCGUCUCUCGCUCAUAUGAUGCCACCACUCACUUCGAGACCACGUGUAACGACAUCAAGGACAUCUACAAGCGCAUGACAGGGACCGACUUUGAUUUCGAGAACAUGAAGCGCAAGAAGAACGACGUCUUUGGAGAGGACGAGCAGUAGCGUGGCCGAGCGUGGGUGACCGGACUCCACCCUGCUCGCGCACACCCCUCCCCUCCCUUUUCCACCUCCGCCCCCCCCGCCCCCCCCCCAACCUCGUCUUCGUCCCUCCCCUCACCCCUUUCCUGUCUUAACUCUCUCCUCCGAUAAUUAUAAACAAGCCGCCUUACUAGAACGGUUACCCUUGAGCGGCUGCUGCUGGGAUGCGCUCUUUCCCACCUCCUCCAACCCCCGCCUCCUCUACUCCCUUCCCUCCCCUUCCCUCCUCCCUGGGUGACACACGUUAGAGGGCGGGUUGCGCGAGAGUUAAUUUGAGUUUUAAAAGAAAUGACGAGCGUGCCCUCCUUUGCCCCUGCCAGGGCAGCUGUUAACCUGAUACGGCCAGUGGACUGAAAUAAAGAGAUCAAACACUCUGCCUGA